rnacentral:rRNA from 1 species
CACGUAGGCGGAUAUUUAAGUCAGGGGUGAAAUCCCAGAGCUCAACUCUGGAACUGCCUUUGAUACUGAGUAUCUUGAGUAUGGAAGAGGUAAGUGGAAUUCCGAGUGUAGAGGUGAAAUUCGUAGAUAUUCGGAGGAACACCAGUGGCGAAGGCGGCUUACUGGUCCAUUACUGACGCUGAGGUGCGAAAGCGUGGGGAGCAAACA